rnacentral:lncRNA from 1 species
UCAAUUACCCGUAUACAUAUAUGUUGAAUUACAUAUUAUUGUUGAGCAAGAUUAAAAACCUUCGGGUUUGGAACCAGGCAUGUAUGAACAUCCCUAUAUGGGAAGAUUUUUGCGCCCAAGGCGGAUAGAGUGAGCGAUGAAUUUCGUUCAAGUUAUGUAGUAUUGAUCAAUACAGGGUACAACGGGGCUGAUCACACUCCGUACCCGUAAGCUAGAGCGGUUUGCAGAUGAAUUUCUGCUAAACCUUUUCGAAAAUGAAAAACAAUGUUCAUAAUAUGUUUCUUAAACCCUAUUCAUGGGUAGAGCCUAAUUUCAAGAAUUUGAAAGAGAGUUGUUAUGUGAAUUUUUUAUCAGUACAGAUUAUUUCACAACUUUUGCUUCGUUGUUGAAGUGUUAUGUAAAGAGAAUACUUAUAUUCUUUCAGCUUAUAUAUAUAAUUGCUAUUACUUGCUGGGCACUGAAAUGCUCAUCCUUGCUUAAACUAAAUGUUUUCAGUUACGUACGAUCGACCUGAAGGCUCAGGCACGAACAAGGGAAAAGAAAAGCUGUUC